rnacentral:rRNA from 1 species
CCUANGGGAGGCAGCAGUGAGGAAUCUUGCGCAAUGGGGGAAACCCUGACGCAGCAACGCCGCGUGAGUGAGGAAGGUUUUCGGAUCGUAAAGCUCUGUCGGGUGGAAAGAAAUGUAUGAAGGUUAAUAGCCUGCAUACUUGACGGUACCACCAAAGGAAGCACCGGCUAACUCCGUGCCAGCAGCCGCGGUAAUACGGGGGGUGCAAGCGUUGUUCGGAAUUAUUGGGCGUAAAGAGCGUGUAGGCGGCUUGGUAAGUCAGAUGUGAAAGCCCUGAGCUUAACUCAGGAAGUGCAUUUGAAACUGUCAGGCUAGAGUAGGGGAGAGGAAAGCGGAAUUCCUGGUGUAGAGGUGAAAUUCGUAGAUAUCAGGAGGAACACCGGUGGCGAAGGCGGCUUUCUGGCCCUAUACUGACGCUGAGGCGCGAGAGCGUGGGGAGCAAACAGGAUUAGAUACCCCANUANUC